AUUUAAAUAGUUUAAUUAAAAAUACUGAUUUGUGGUGUCAGAGAUAUAUAAAAUAUUUUAAAUA
rnacentral:tRNA from 1 species